rnacentral:rRNA from 1 species
GACGAACGCUGGCGGCGUGCUUAACACAUGCAAGUCGAACGGAAAGGCCCUGCUUUUGUGGGGUGCUCGAGUGGCGAACGGGUGAGUAACACGUGAGUAACCUGCCCUUGACUUUGGGAUAACUUCAGGAAACUGGGGCUAAUACCGGAUAGGAGCUCCUGCUGCAUGGUGGGGUUUGGAAAGUUUCGGCGGUUGUGGAUGGACUCGCGGCUUAUCAGCUUGUUGGUGGGGUAGUGGCUUACCAAGGCUUUGACGGGUAGCCGGCCUGAGAGGGUUACCGGCCACAUUGGGACUGAGAUACGGCCCAGACUCCUACGGGAGGCAGCAGUGGGGAAUAUGGCACAAUGGGCGGAAGCCUGAUGCAGCAACGCCGCGUGCGGGAUGACGGCCUUCGGGUUGUAAACCGCUGUCGACUGUGACGAAGCGUGAGUGACGGUAAUGGGUAAAGAAGCAACGGCUAACUACGUG